rnacentral:rRNA from 1 species
CGAGGACGACGCUGGCGGCGUGCUUAACACAUGCAAGUCGAACGGUGAAGGGAAGCUUGCUUCCCGGAUCAGUGGCGAACGGGUGAGUAACACGUGGGCAAUCUGCCCCAGACUUUGGGAUAACUACUCGAAAGAGUAGCUAAUACCGAAUAUUCAGCCUUGCAGGCAUCUGCGAGGCUGGAAAGUUUCUCGGUCUGGGAUGAGCCCGCGGCCUAUCAGCUAGUUGGUGAGGUAAUGGCUCACCAAGGCGACGACGGGUAGCCGGCCUGAGAGGGCGACCGGCCACACUGGGACUGAGACACGGCCCAGACUCCUACGGGAGGCAGCAGUGGGGAAUAUUGCGCAAUGGGCGAAAGCCUGACGCAGCAACACCGCGUGCGGGAUGAAGGCCUUCGGGUUGUAAACCGCUUUCAGCAGGGAAGAAGCGAAAGUGACGGUACCUGCAGAAGAAGCACCGGCUAACUACGUG